rnacentral:rRNA from 1 species
UACGUAGGGUCCGAGCGUUGUCCGGAAUUAUUGGGCGUAAAGAGCUCGUAGGCGGUCUGUCGCGUCGGCUGUGAAAACACGGGGCUCAACUCCGUGCCUGCAGUCGAUACGGGCAGACUAGAGUUCGGUAGGGGAGACUGGAAUUCCUGGUGUAGCGGUGAAAUGCGCAGAUAUCAGGAGGAACACCGGUGGCGAAGGCGGGUCUCUGGGCCGAAACUGACGCUGAGAAGCGAAAGCAUGGGGAGCGAACAGG